GACUCUCUCCUUUUUUCUGAAUAAUUAUGCUUUUGAUUUAUGAACUAUCUUAAAUGAGACUUUCUGUUUGAUCUUCAUCUGCUCCUGAGUUCGUACAGCUUGGUUUCGUGAUUUGCACAGCGUGAUAUAGAGAGAUUUCGGACUGAGUUCAACUGAAUGAUAUCAUUCAUGACAUGUCAGACAAGGUAUGUUGCUACAUUACCUUUCUCAUCAGAUUUCUUGAUAAAUAUUAACACUUUCUCUAUAUCAUUUUUGAUUUACCUGAAUAAAUACUUUUCAAUGUAUUUGGUGUACAAUUAUAUCACAUAGUUCAACUCAUAUAUAUCACAUAAGCAAUUGAAGAGUGAACGAGGAAGCCAUGGAUUGGAGAGUGAUUACUAUUUGCUAGCAUUGAACUUUCCCUCAAAGAAUGAGCUUUUCCUCUGUAAAGGAGAUUAGUAGAAAGCUGGAAAAUGCAUACAAGAGUGUUGCACUCCAUGAAAGCUCCAACCAAGAUGAAUGAAAAAGUAAUCUGCUUUCCAAGUUUGGAGAUGCUCAUUCAAAUUAUAUUUAUGGAGUUUAAGUUUUACAAUCUGUCAUUUGAACAAUAUAUAACUAUAUAU